rnacentral:rRNA from 1 species
AGAGUUUGAUCCUGGCUCAGGAUGAACGCUAGCUACAGGCUUAACACAUGCAAGUCGAGGGGCAGCAUGGUCUUAGCUUGCUAAGGCCGAUGGCGACCGGCGCACGGGUGAGUAACACGUAUCCAACCUGCCGUCUACUCUUGGACAGCCUUCUGAAAGGAAGAUUAAUACAAGAUGGCAUCAUGAGUCCGCAUGUUCACAUGAUUAAAGGUAUUCCGGUAGACGAUGGGGAUGCGUUCCAUUAGAUAGUAGGCGGGGUAACGGCCCACCUAGUCUUCGAUGGAUAGGGGUUCUGAGAGGAAGGUCCCCCACAUUGGAACUGAGACACGGUCCAAACUCCUACGGGAGGCAGCAGUGAGGAAUAUUGGUCAAUGGGCGAGAGCCUGAACCAGCCAAGUAGCGUGAAGGAUGACUGCCCUAUGGGUUGUAAACUUCUUUUAUAAAGGAAUAAAGUCGGGUAUGGAUACCCGUUUGCAUGUACUUUAUGAAUAAGGAUCGGCUAACUCCGUGCCAGCAGCCGCGGUAAUACGGAGGAUCCGAGCGUUAUCCGGAUUUAUUGGGUUUAAAGGGAGCGUAGGUGGACUGGUAAGUCAGUUGUGAAAGUUUGCGGCUCAACCGUAAAAUUGCAGUUGAUACUGUCAGUCUUGAGUACAGUAGAGGUGGGCGGAAUUCGUGGUGUAGCGGUGAAAUGCUUAGAUAUCACGAAGAACUCCGAUUGCGAAGGCAGCCUGCUAAGCUGCAACUGACAUUGAGGCUCGAAAGUGUGGGUAUCAAACAGGAUUAGAUACCCUGGUAGUCCACACGGUAAACGAUGAAUACUCGCUGUUUGCGAUAUACUGCAAGCGGCCAAGCGAAAGCGUUAAGUAUUCCACCUGGGGAGUACGCCGGCAACGGUGAAACUCAAAGGAAUUGACGGGGGCCCGCACAAGCGGAGGAACAUGUGGUUUAAUUCGAUGAUACGCGAGGAACCUUACCCGGGCUUAAAUUGCAGAUGAAUUACGGUGAAAGCCGUAAGCCGCAAGGCAUCUGUGAAGGUGCUGCAUGGUUGUCGUCAGCUCGUGCCGUGAGGUGUCGGCUUAAGUGCCAUAACGAGCGCAACCCUUGUUGUCAGUUACUAACAGGUUCCGCUGAGGACUCUGACAAGACUGCCAUCGUAAGAUGUGAGGAAGGUGGGGAUGACGUCAAAUCAGCACGGCCCUUACGUCCGGGGCUACACACGUGUUACAAUGGGGGGUACAGAGGGCCGCUACCACGCGAGUGGAUGCCAAUCCCCAAAACCUCUCUCAGUUCGGACUGGAGUCUGCAACCCGACUCCACGAAGCUGGAUUCGCUAGUAAUCGCGCAUCAGCCACGGCGCGGUGAAUACGUUCCCGGGCCUUGUACACACCGCCCGUCAAGCCAUGGGAGCCGGGGGUACCUGAAGUGCGUAACCGCGAGGAGCGCCCUAGGGUAAAACUGGUGACUGGGGCUAAGUCGUAACAAGGUAGCCGUACCGGAAGGUGCGGCUG